UACGUAGGGUGCAAGCGUUGUCCGGAAUUAUUGGGCGUAAAGAGCUCGUAGGCGGCUUGUCGCGUCGAAUGUGAAAACUCGGGGCUCAACCCCGAGCUUGCAUUCGAUACGGGCAGGCUAGAGUUCGGUAGGGGAGACUGGAAUUCCUGGUGUAGCGGUGAAAUGCGCAGAUAUCAGGAGGAACACCGGUGGCGAAGGCGGGUCUCUGGGCCGAUACUGACGCUGAGGAGCGAAAGCGUGGGGAGCGAACAGG
rnacentral:rRNA from 1 species